rnacentral:lncRNA from 1 species
UUUUUCUUCUCCUUCCUAUUUCUUUUUCUUCUUUCUCUUUCCUUCAUUGUCACACGAGAGCAACACCAUAGAAUCAUAAUCGUAACAGAAAAAAAUAAAGAUUGAUAGCUAUAUCUAUACCUAUUUUAUCAUCUCAUCCACCCUCCCAUUGUUCUUCACAGCUCGGACGGAGCAAACAACCAAGGUUGAAAUGGAAACCCAACACUUUAUUGGAUCUUUCUUAGCUUCAUCUUGCUUUGCGAUUGUGCUCUAUACAUUAAAUUUACUUUAUAUUUUUAUCUUUUGAUCAAGAUGGAAGAAGAAAUUGAAGAGAAAAGCCCAAAAAGAGAGACCAUUUUCUUAUCAAUAUAGUUAGCUAGUUUCUCUUGCAAAGAUUCUAUCAAAAAAAAAUUCUGAAAAAGUCACUUCUUUAGUUGUAAUUUGGCUGCCCAUGGAGAUCCGACAAAUGUGACUAAAAUUUCUUCGGCAAGAUGGAAAAGUUGAUAAAAAUAUUUGGAAUUUUUGAAGGAGAGAAAAAAAGGUUCGGUUGGGGAAGGGGGACGAUUAUUCCAGUCAAAGAAAAAAAAUAAAAAAAAUUGCCGGAAAAACUACGUGUCAAUGCGUAUAAACACUACUUGGGUAAAAUUUGAUUGUGGCAUUUUAGGGGAUGAAUAAAUUCAUCUUGGAUAACGAUAGGGUGGCAAUAACUAACUUUUCGGGACAAGUACAUGGAGCAACUUAUGUAUUUUCCUUUUUAUUUAUAUUUUAUUGUAGUUGUAUUUUUUUUUUUUUUGUAUAAAUAUUGUGAAUAAGUUGUAAAUAAAUUGUAUAAUCUAUUAACAGUUAGUAUAAAAAAAAUUAUUUAACUUGUACGUUGUUAUAGAUGUAUUAAUUUUUUAUCAAAUUUGUACGGCAGUUGUAUUGACAACUCACUACCAGUGGUGAUGAGGGCGAGCGAACAAAGUUUUCCAGCGAGAGUGAAGUAGAGAGGCAGAAAAAGGGUCGUGGAGUGAAGCUGAUAUCUGUUGAUUUUGAACCUGAUUUCUGUUCGAUACGUUCGAUUUCGAAGCUGAAUUCUUUCAGUUCCAAGUUGAAGUUUCAACUUCGAGUCUCCAAUCAACAAAGUAAGUGCCUAAUUCAACUAAUUUCAUCAAAAUCAAAGCCAACGAUU